UACGAAGGGGCUAGCGUUGCUCGGAAUCACUGGGCGUAAAGGGUGCGUAGGCGGGUCUUUAAGUCAGGGUGAAAUCCUGGAGCUCAACUCCAGAACUGCCUUUGAUACUGAAGAUCUUGAGUUCGGGAGAGGUGAGUGGAACUGCGAGUGUAGAGGUGAAAUUCGUAGAUAUUCGCAAGAACACCAGUGGCGAAGGCGGCUCACUGGCCCGGUACGUGACGCUGAGGUGGCGAAAGCG
rnacentral:rRNA from 1 species